rnacentral:lncRNA from 10 species
UUUCUUAUUCGUUUCCUUUUAGUGCUGCUUGUUGCUGACGUUUCUGCCCAAACAUCAUGAAAUGUGGAGAAGAAAGAACACUCAGAUGUGCCCUGGAGACUUUCCUUUUAUUUUUAAACAGUUUUUUUUUCCAUUGGGUUUGACCAACUCUAUAUUCGACUUGAACAAAUCCGAAGGAAAGCUUCCAAUUAUGGGGAACAAGUCCUCUGAAGUGGCUAAAUUCCCACACACACAAAAGAAAAGGUAGGGUGGUGGGGGGGAGAAAAACAGCCAGCAAAAGGAAAAAAAAA